AGAAUGAACGCUGGCGGCAUGCCUAACACAUGCAAGUCGAACGAAAUCCUUCGGGGUUUAGUGGCGCACGGGUGCGUAACGCGUGGGAAUCUGCCCUUGGGUUCGGAAUAACAGUUGGAAACGACUGCUAAAUACCGGAUGAUGACGUAAGUCCAAAGAUUUGUCGCCCAGGGAUGAGCCCGCGUAGGAUUAGGUAGUUGGUGUGGUAAAGGCGCACCAAGCCGACGAUCCUUAGCUGGUCUGAGAGGAUGAUCAGCCACACUGGGACUGAGACACGGCCCAGACUCCUACGGGAGGCAGCAGUGGGGAAUAUUGGACAAUGGGCGAAAGCCUGAUCCAGCAAUGCCGCGUGAGUGAUGAAGGCCUUAGGGUUGUAAAGCUCUUUACCCGGGAUGAUAUGACAGUACCGGGAGAAUAAGCUCCGGCUAACUCCGCGCCAGCAGCCGC
rnacentral:rRNA from 1 species